AAUUUUGAUUAGAAGGUGAUAAGUCGCUUCUGUACACAAAUGUUGGGAGGGUUGGUUAGUAAAUGGCACUAUCAUUUUACUGCAUAUUGUCGUCGUGUUGCAGAGGGAAAGUUAGUGAUACCUCAUAAGAGGGGGUAAUUAACAAAUUGAGUUGUAACUAGAAACAGGCAUGAUGUUGGAUCCCCAAGUAUAGUCAUCCCGAGACGGGAGAAGACAUGAUGCAGAUAACUCCAAAAUAGCAGGCG
rnacentral:misc_RNA from 1 species